UGUGGCUCAUAGUUAAGCUUCCUUGGGUUCAAUCCCUUGUACCAAAAAAGAAAAAAGAAAACCUGUGCCCCUGUGCCAAGGGCAUGCCACCUAGUACAGAAUAGAAGCUUUCCAUUCAAUACUGGAUUCAAUUAUAUCAGUUCUCAUCAAGGCAAAUUUGGCCAAUUCCAUUGAGCAUGUGCAAGGGAAUGACCCCUUCACUUGCUCAAAUAGCUCCUCAAUAAUAGAUACUACUUACUGAGCAUUUAGUAAGGGACAGAUUCUGUGGCAAACACUCAUACAUUCUCUUUGAAUGUUCAGUACAGCCCUAGAAAGAUGGUAGUAUCACACAUAUCUUAUGGGAAACCAGAUUCUGUAGCCCACAAGCCUCAGAAAGGCUGAGUCACUAUCCAAAGCCCGUCUCUUAGCUACUGCAUCCCCAGAGCAAUGGUUCCAGAAUGUGUCUUUUUAUAUCCAGCACUGGUGGCUGUGGACUGUGUUGGGGAACUUGCUACUCUUUAGGGGUGGCUGUGGGCAGAGGAAGGAUGUUGGAUAGUUAAAGAGAAC
rnacentral:lncRNA from 1 species